UACGUAGGGUGCGAGCGUUGUCCGGAAUUAUUGGGCGUAAAGAGCUCGUAGGCGGUCUGUCGCGUCGGUCGUGAAAACUUGGGGCUUAACCCUGAGCUUGCGGUCGAUACGGGCAUGACUGGAGUUUGGCAGGGGAGACUGGAAUUCCUGGUGUAGCGGUGAAAUGCGCAGAUAUCAGGAGGAACACCGGUGGCGAAGGCGGGUCUCUGGGCCGAUACUGACGCUGAGGAGCGAAAGCGUGGGGAGCGAACAGG
rnacentral:rRNA from 1 species